rnacentral:rRNA from 1 species
UGGGCAACCUGCCCUAGGGAGCGGGACAACCCGAUGAAACUCGGGCUAAUACUGCAUGAUUCGUCGUGCCUCAAGGUGCGACGGGAAAUGGUAGCUUCGGCCUCCGCCCUGGGAUGGGCCCCGCGGCGCAUUAGCUAGUUGGUGAGGUAACGGCUCACCAAGGCAACGAUGCGUAGCCGACCUGAGAGGGUGAUCGGCCACAUUGGAACUGAGACACGGUCCAGACCUNUACGGGAG